rnacentral:rRNA from 1 species
AGAGUUUGAUCCUGGCUCAGGAUGAACGCUGGCGGCAGGCCUAAUACAUGCAAGUCGGACGGCAGCAUGCCGUAGCAAUACGGUGAUGGCGAGUGGCGUACGGGUGCGUAACACGUGUGCAACCUGCCCCGCACAGGGACAAAACGCCGGGAAACUGGCGCUAAUAUCCCAUGACGCCGCGCUGGGGCAUCCCUUUGCGGCUAAAGAGGCGACUCGGUGCGGGAUGGGCACGCGUCCCAUUAGAUAGUUGGCGGGGUGACGGCCCACCAAGUCCGCGAUGGGUAGGGGUUCUGAGAGGACAGGCCCCCCACACUGGAACUGAGACACGGUCCAGACUCCUACGGGAGGCAGCAGUAAGGAAUAUUGGUCAAUGGGAGGAAUCCUGAACCAGCCAUGCCGCGUGCGGGAGGAAGGCCCUACGGGUCGUAAACCGCUUUUGCCCGGGGAUAGUGCGCGUCACGAGUGGCGCGAGAGAAGGUACCGGGCGAAUAAGCAUCGGCUAACUCCGUGCCAGCAGCCGCGGUAAUACGGAGGAUGCGAGCGUUAUCCGGAUUUAUUGGGUUUAAAGGGUGCGCAGGCGGACCGGUAAGUCAGCGGUGAAAUCCACACGCCCAACGUGUGAAGUGCCGUUGAUACUGCCGGACUGGUAUGCCGGGGGCGCGGCCGGAAUGUGUCGUGUAGCGGUGAAAUGCAUAGAUAUGACACAGAACGCCGAUCGUGAAGACAGGUCGCGAACCGGAGAUAGACGCUCAAGCACGAAAGCGUGGGGAUCAAACAGGAUUAGAUACCCUGGUAGUCCACGCCGUAAACGAUGAUGACUCGUUGCCGGGGGGCGACCCUCGGCGGCCAAGCGAAAGCGAUAAGUCAUCCACCUGGGGAGUACGAUCGCAAGGUUGAAACUCAAAGGAAUUGACGGGGGCCCGCACAAGCGGAGGAGCAUGUGGUUUAAUUCGAUGAUACGCGAGGAACCUUACCCGGGCUUGAAUUGCGCCUGAAGACGGCGGAGACGCCGUUGCCUUAGGGCAGGCGUGAAGGUGCUGCAUGGUUGUCGUCAGCUCGUGCCGUGAGGUGUCAGGUUAAGUCCUAUAACGAGCGCAACCCCUACUGCCAGUUGCCAGCGGAUCAUGCCGGGGACUCUGGCGGGACUGCCCGCGCAAGCGGAGAGGAGGGCGGGGAUGACGUCAAAUCAGCACGGCCCUUAUGUCCGGGGCUACACACGUGCUACAAUGGCCGCCACAGAGGGGCGCCACCCAGCGAUGGGGCGCGGAUCCCGAAAGGCGGUCUCAGUUCGGAUCGGAGUCUGCAACCCGACUCCGUGAAGUUGGAUUCGCUAGUAAUCGCGCAUCAGCCAUGGCGCGGUGAAUACGUUCCCGGGCCUUGUACACACCGCCCGUCAAGCCAUGGGAGCCGGAGGUGCCUGAAGGGUGUGGCCGAGAGGAGCGCCUUAGGGUAAAUUUGGUGACUGGGGCUAAGUCGUAACAAGGUAGCCGUACCGGAAGGUGUGGCUGGAACACCUCCUU